rnacentral:rRNA from 1 species
GACAGAGGGUGCAAACGUUGUUCGGAAUUACUGGGCGUAAAGCGCGUGUAGGCGGCCUUGCAAGUCGGAUGUGAAAGCCCUGGGCUCAACCCAGGAAGUGCACUCGAAACUGCAAGGCUUGAGUUCCGGAGAGGAAAGCGGAAUUCUCGGUGUAGAGGUGAAAUUCGUAGAUAUCGAGAGGAACACCGGUGGCGAAGGCGGCUUUCUGGACGGCGACUGACGCUGAGACGCGAAAGCGUGGGGAGCAAACAGGAUUAGAUACCCUGGUAGUCCACGCCGUAAACGAUGGGUGCUAGGUGUCGCGGGCAUUGACCCCUGCGGUGCCGAAGCCAACGCAUUAAGCACCCCGCCUGGGGAGUACGGCCGCAAGGCUAAA